rnacentral:rRNA from 1 species
CAGUCGCCACGGGAAUACGUAGGUGGCAAGCGUUGUCCGGAAUUAUUGGGCGUAAAGGGCUCGCAGGCGGUUUCUUAAGUCUGAUGUGAAAGCCCCCGGCUCAACCGGGGAGGGUCAUUGGAAACUGGGAAACUUGAGUGCAGAAGAGGAGAGUGGAAUUCCACGUGUAGCGGUGAAAUGCGUAGAGAUGUGGAGGAACACCAGUGGCGAAGGCGACUCUCUGGUCUGUAACUGACGCUGAGAGACGAAAGCUAGGGGAGCAAAUGGGAUUAGAUACCCGAGUAGUCCCUGUCUCUUAUAC